AAAACGGUGCUUUUGGGGGAUAUUUCGUACUGUAUUUAGUCCGGUAAGCUCCUGACAUCUUCUGUUCAUUGAUCAAACUCGAUGGAUGCCAAUCUGCAAUCAAGUCAUCAAGUGCAAUUGCAGAAAUAUCAUGUCAAGACCUGUCAGCGGUUGCUGUUGUUAAGCUUCAAGUAUGGGACACGAGUUUAAAAUUAGGUUUUAAGAGCGUUAUUCCUGAUGAAAUCAUAAAAUGGACACAACGUCGAAUAUUCCAUGCAAAAGGCUUAGACGACAGUACAAGCCAAGAGGAUUUAGAAGCUGCAAUCGAAGCACUCCGCACCGGCGAGCGGAAAUCACUACGAGACGCUGGUGAAGCAUUUGGUGUGCCCUUUAGCACAAUUAGAGACAAGUUAAAUGGAUAUACUCCAUUAAGAUGUCAAAUUGGGCCUGAACCUAUUUUAGAAAGAGUAGCAAGAUAGGCCGGUAGCGGACUUCAAUUGGAGAAGAUCUUGCACGAUUAUUUAAUAGAUCAGGCAAGGAGGGGAUUCGCCCUGAAGAAAUACAACCUGAUUGCCCUUGUACAGAAAUUUCUUGAAACCGAGAGACUAGAAAAUCCGUUUCACAAUGGAAUACCAGGGAAGUCUUGGUGGUACGGAUUUCUGAAACGAAAUCCUGAUAUCUCCGAGAAAGGUGCCGAGCACCACUCCCUUGCAAGGGCUGCAGUUACUGAACCUGCUAUUAGAGGAUGGUUCAGAUUGGUUGAGGACUAGCUGACAUCCAAGGGUCUCUUGCAUCUCUUAAGAGAUCCUCGAAGGGUUGUCAAUGGUGACGAAACUCCAGUGACAAUUUCUGAGAUUUUAGGAAAAUUUCUCGGCAUCAGAGGCGAGUCCUUACAAUACUUAGAUUCUAAUGAGAACGAAAAGGAAACAUACUCUCUAAUGGUAACCGCUUCAGCUGAUGGAGCACCCCUGGUUCCAUUUUUGAUCUUCAAAUACCAACGUAUUCCAAGCAGAGUACAAGAUACGUGCCCGAAUGGAUGGUAUUAUGCUAAAUCCGAGUCGGGAUGGAUGACUGGUGUGACAAUGCUAGAGUACGGUAAAAUUUUGCAUCAAACGCUCGUUACCCUCGGAAUUUUGGAUGAAGAAGGAGAUGAGCAGAAAGUUUUGCUAUUUCUUGAUGGAUAUACAGCACAUCUUGAUGUAGAAUUUUCCAAAUUCUGUGAGAACCAUGGGAUUGUUGUUAUUUGCUUCCUGGCAAACGCAAAACUCAUAUUUUGCAACCUGUGGAUGUUGGUAUAAAUGCACCGCUGAAACAUCACUGGGCCAAGGAACUUGAAGAACACAAGUUGUCCGCUGGAGAGCUGAUCAACAAACAAAACAUUGGUCCCAAAUUAGCAUUAGUAACAAGGCAUUCAGCAAAAUCACAGAGACAACUGUUGUAAAUUCAUUCAGGCGCUGCGGAUUAUUUCCUUUCUCUGCUGAUGCCGUUGAUUAAAAGUUGAUUUCCAUCCACGUCCAGCAGUCGGCCAGCUCUAAUGCCUAUCUGCUACCUGACUCAUCUCCUGAUGGAAAGUCUGCUUGUGAGGUGGCUUUAAAAGCUAUUGAAUCAUUGAUUCCUGAGAAUAUUCUAAAACAAAUGAAAUCAACUUGGAAGGCUAAUGGUUAUAUUGAGAUGGAGAUGACAGGCUCUUGUAUGAAGUUUGGGAAUAUUUGAAAAAGAAUGAGCUCGAAAAUUGUCUUCAGGAAGUGGCUGUUGAGGAUAAUCUAUUCCAUUCUGAGGAAAGUCUCCAACCCAAACACCAGAAUGAAGGCAGACUUGAAAGAGAGCUCAGUAACGAGUAUGGUGCAGAAGACAGUGAACACAUUGAGUAUGCAGAAAUGUUGGUGAAUUUAUUGGAAGACAAUGCUGAGGUUGAGAAAAAUCAGAGCAUCCGGUUCAAGGAAGACGCCUCUUUGGAUUCUCAAGAGAAUCAUGGGCCAAUUCAGCGCCCACUCUCGUCAAUCGCUGCUGCUCACACUGCUCUCACUCGUCGCCCUAUCUCUCCCACUACCUCCAAAUCAAUCUGGGACAAGGAAGACGCCUCUUUGGAUUCCCAAGACCAAGAGACUCGUGAGCCAAUUCGGCGCCCAUUCUCAGAUGUCACCAAUUUACAAUCAAUUAAUUCAACUUUCUGAACAGGCAAGUUUUUGUAUUACUUUUUGUUGUAUUUGUUAGCGCCUCAUAUUAUAAAUUUACAUCAUUAUAAUUUUAUUAGCUGAUGUUGUACAUCCCUUCAAUAGGUCUGUCUCCUGAACAUACUUGUCAAGAGCGCACAAAUCGCUCCGCGCUCACGGCCUGAGCGCAGAGCGCGAGCGAAAAAUUUUUGA